CUUUGGUCUGCUGUUAAACUGUCAGAUAUGUGAUGCAGUCUGGAUGUCUCGUCCUCUCUGGUGGAGCUGAAGUGGAAUUAUUCACUGAAAGCAGCUCUGAAUACAUUUAAUCCAGCAGAGCCCUGGAGUGGCCGAAGAUGAAGCCGGAGAAGAGGUCCAUUAAGUCUCCAGAUUCCAAGCUUUUGUUUGAAUCCAUUUUAGCACCUUCCUCAUCUUUUAUGGAUGUCAUCCUCCACUCGCUCAGUUCUUUUCUUCCUCCCAGCUUAUUGUCUGACUGAUAAGGAAAAUAGAUUCAGCUCCUUUGACAAAGUGAGAGACAGAACAGAGUUUCUGUGACCGACGCUACUGAAUAUGUUCAGUGUUUAGAAAAGGAAACGUUGCUCUUGUACCUGCUCUUGACUGAAAGAUGAUGAUGGGGCAUUUUGUUGGAUCACCAUGACAAUCGAUCCUGUCAGUAUUCUCUGCUACAGCACCAGUCCACCAGCUGAUGGUCUAUGUAACGAGGCUCGGUGCUGUUCCUCCUCCUGUUGAGAUCUGACUCUGGAGCAAAGCGGCACUGUUUCCUCUGCUGUCUCCUCUCCACGUCCCAUUGGCUGUAGCUCACAGCUGUUUAGUGUCCAGAUUACUGGAUCGCUUCAGUUACCGAGUGGAGAGUUUGUGAGGCGGCGUACGCUGGACUGGACCCAACAUGUGACAUACGCAGCCCUGUACACAGCCGUACAUCUGAUACAUAACAAGUCUCCUGACGGUCCUGAGAGUCAACAUGAUAUACGUUCAUUUAUGUUCACACUGUGACAGCAUUCUUCUCUGGAAGAUCAGAGGUUUAAUUACUGUGUCUUUGCCUCGUCAUGAGCAGAUGAUGACAGCAGGAGAGAAACAGGUUUUUAUGUCAGAAGAAAUUCAUCUGCUGCCAGAAGGAGUCUUCACACUGUCACUGACUGUUCAACGUACAAUGAGAGAAGCAGGAUGUGGAAAAUCAUCCCAACGGACAAUCUGCCCUGUCACACUAACCUGCUCCAGCACACAGUCUGAUCCCAGCACAGCGUUUGUCCAGCAGCAGAUAUGUGGGACACAUUCCAGCUGAUAGGUGACAGCAGAGAGCGAGCUGUUAAACCUGCUCAGCUGUGACAGAGAACUGAACCGACCUUUACAUUUCUCCAACACAGUAGCUCCACUCUGGAAGAAGGGAACGGUCACUUCUUGUCCUUGUGACACUGAAGUGUCCAUAAUUC